AAGUCAUGAAGGAAAUAAUGUGCAGUGUACACUAUGUGUGCAAACAGCAACAAAGUAGGCAUUGGGCAACGGAAGCCAAUGUGCCUGAAAUUCCUAGAGCCCCAGGGUUUAGCAGGGUAAAUACUGUCAUGCUUGUGUUUACCCUGAGCUGCAAACAGAUCAGAACAAAGUGUAAGGUACAAGAAUUCUCAACACAAUUAUGUGUUUCCCAAUAUGGGUUGGUAAUCUGUGGUGUUAUUUUACUUUCUAACAAAGAAUUCAUCUUGCUUGUCCUCUGGGAACACGGUAUCUUCCUAGGGAAAAAGUCUGCUCUCAGAGAGAAGAGUACUGGUGUUGUAAUGGAGCGGACAAUAUUUAAGCACCUGACCUGGCGAUCUAGAUACAGCCCGUUUCUUCUAUUUGCAAAGCUGAAAGCUCAAGAUAAAACUACCACUGAAUUUCUCAAACCGGUCCUUGUCCCUUGGGCCUCUGUGCCGCACUCCGGAGAUUAUCAGGGCAAGAUAUUCUCCAUGUGAGUAACAUGAAAUGCAGGGGAGUAAGCUAAGCACUUGAGGAAUUGUGCAGAGUCAAGUGUGGCUCCAAAGGACAGUCCUUAGGGGAGAGGGGCGAACAGCGUAUAGGGACACAGGACAGAGAUUUGGGUGCAACAGCAAGUAGAAAGUGGUCACGCAGAGCCAUAGAGGCCAGAUGAGGACUAUUGAGGCACAUUAAAUAGAAGAAUAACAUGAUCAGGAGAGAUUUGCUACUGGCAAAAUGGAAUGGCAGAGAGUAUAACUGGUAGCCAGGAGGCUAUUAAAGUAAUUGAGAUAAUAGUAGCGAAAAUGAGAAGCCUGGCCCUCUAACAUCAUAGCCGAGGAGAAGAGGGAGAAAAUUGUAAGAAAUAAAAUGAAUAGGACCUGGCAUGUCUCUAAACACGAGACAAUGGAAGAGGGAGAUGUAAAACUCGAUAUUCGCAUUUCUACUUUGGCAGUUUGAAUGGAUGGCUGUGGCCGUGCCAUUUGUUAAUUAUGCUUGGUGUUGAGAGUACAGGAUCUCAUUAAUUUAGCUUGGAGAAAUUCAGCAAGAAAUAUUUAGGAGGAAGGUGGUUAUUGAGGAUAUGAGGUAAAAAGAAAGAUCUGAACCAGAGAUUAUUUGGAAGUUAUUAAUAUAUGGAUUAUAAUUUAAUUUAGCAUGAAGAAAUAUUUAAUAAUCUUAGAAAUGUCCCUUUUAAUGAAAAUGUAGGUAAAGUAUAGGUGGCGUGGAUGGCAUCUUGCCUGGCAAAUUCUACUUUACUUGAAAAAUGUAGGUACAUGGGCCGGGGAUUUAGCUCAGUGGUUCCGGUGCCUGCCUCACAAGAGCAAGAUCCUGAGUUCAAUCCCCGGUACCAAAAAAAAAAAAAAAAGAAAAAUGUAGGUACGUACAUAGAUGCAGAGAGUGAAGCAAAAGUGGUUUGAGGAGGGGAGAAAAGGUCUUACACAGUCAGUUAGAGACUAGGCAGUCAAAGAGCCCAUUGAAGCCAGUCUGCCUAAGGUUGGGAUUUUCUCUAGCAGCUCCUGUUCAUCAGACUACGUAAAUGAGGUCAAUGGAAGAAUGGCUGGUUGGAUAAAUGGGACAGGAACACAAUAGGGAAAAGGAAUUCAGAGUAUUAACAAGAAAGUAAGAAAUAGAAUGGAAGUUCUUAAAGAGUUUAGAAAACGAGUAUUUUAGGAAUCGAUAAGGAACACUUAACAGUAGCAGGUAUGGUUGGAGAAUUCAAUGCAUGGAUUUAUAGAUUGAAAAGUGGACUGAUUUAAAGUAUAAUCAGUGAAGUGGACAACUGAAGUCAAGUAAGGAAAAAGCCAUUGGUAGCGUGGAGGUCAAGAGUUUUGGAUGGAGCAUCCACAUGGAUAUUGUAGCUACCUAGAGGGAUGGCAGAGCUUGGAGAAGACAGGAUAACUGCAAGUCUAGAGCUAGGAUUUUCAGUAAAAGGAGAUUAAAGGCACCUGUCCUGAGGUGAGGAUAAUAUUACCAAAUAAUUCAAACCAUUGAUGCAUACUUAGUUCUUAGUCCUGGGCCUGAUAGAGAAUAAGAUAAUCAAUGAAUGGAUGAAUGACUGAAUGAACUAAUAAUAAAUCUAAGAAAUUCCAUGAGUCCACCUAGAAAAAUAUGGGGCUCAGUAAGAGAGUAUCUUUCAAUAGCAUGGAGAGAACAUCUUUCAGAAAUUUUCAGACAUCCUAGAAGUUAUCAGAGAUUUCUCAUAUUUGCUUUGGAAUUGGUAACUGUUCUGAACCCAAUUGCAAGACCUUGCUCAAAAGUCUGUCAUUUGGAGCCCUGAUCAGCUUAAGUCUUUGAAAAGAUGGAGAUUCUUAUGUCUAGAUGUCUCCCAGAGCCUCAUGCUGUCAUGGGUGGGGAUUUUUCAGAGGUGGCUGGAUCUAGAGUGUGUGAUGCUGGGAUUGAUACAUGGUGCAGUGCUAGACUCAAGGGCACUAGAAUUAAAAGUAUGAGUGCUACCCAUCCUAAGCAGCUUGGAUAAGACAAAAGGGGCAGAAAGACACUGUUAAGAUCCCUUGCUGCUUGACUACCAUCUGACCACCAUGAAUUGUUGCCCCUCUGCUGUGCAGCCCUGCCUUGGAGCCAGCCGAUUAUGGACUGAAACCUCCACAAACUGUGAGCCAAUUAAACCUUUCCUCCUUUAAUUUGUAGAUGUUGGACAUUUUGUCUCAGCAAUGAGAAAAGUAACUGAGACAGAGCCACUCACUAUACCAUCUUGGAAAACCCUGAUUCCCACCUCCGCAUGUCACUGGGUCUGGUCAGCGCUCCCAGGGUACCGUUAGAAAAGCCUUUGAAGACGGAGCUGUUUCAUUCUCCAAGAGGGUGGAGCUUCCUGCUCUGAGUACUUGGAACUUGACCUGUUCCAAAGCUCUGCCAUACAGGCCUUCAGUACUGCAGAUCUGAGACAUAAAGACUACAUAUCACAGAAGGGCAGCUGUCUGUUUAUUAUUCUAACAUCACUUUUGUAAGGAUUAUAAACAUGCAUAAUUGGAACAGAAUUAUCACAAGUAAAUGUUAUUGCUAUGGACUGAAAACACAACACAAACAAAAGCAAUUCCAUUUGUGGGCGGAAAUGAUAAUAUAAGGCUAUAUAAUUUUUGUGUGCUGCAGUAAUUGUAGAAUGCAAAGAUAACAAAUACAACAUUACAGGUGGGCAUGAGAAUUGGGCAGAACAAAAAAUGAGUCAUAACUGUGAAGCCUCGCUUCCCACUUUGCCUACACAGAGACUGAAAGCAAGUGUCAGAAGUCAGUGCAUCUCACAUUGCAAAGUGCCUGUGACUCCCCCGGGAUCUUGCUAAAAUGCAGAUUCGGGCUCAGGGGGUCUAAGGCCAGCCUAAGAUUACACACUUCACAUGCUCUCUGGUGACACCACUGGUGCUGGCCCCUGGGCUACAGGUGGAGAAGCAAAGGACAGAGCAAGGCUCAAGCCAAAUCCUCAUUGGGCCAGGCCAGGGAGGCAGCCCAGUGCCUGAUGGGAAAGGCUCAGUUGUGUCCAGUCCCUGGGGCCAAGGAAAUCAAGGCCACAAUAAAGAUGACAGCAGGAGCUCAGAGCUGAGAUGCCAGGGCCCCAUGGCUAGCACCUCCCUCCCCUUAGGGAGCUCUGGAGCACAGGGGCCUGAGUCUGGGGUGGAGCUGGAAGUAACAGCUCCACCCUUGAUGGGAGGCCUUGGCAGAGACUCCAGCCAAGGUGCCCCCACCCGGGCAGCAGCGGAGCCAGCCAAGGCCCCGUGCAACUGGCCGAUCCCCGGGGGCUCUUAGAUUUCUCCUGAGGGCCAGGCCCCUUCUGCUUGGCCCACAGCAGCUGCUAAGCUUCUGG
rnacentral:lncRNA from 1 species